GGCCUCCUGAUGCUUACCACAGGCUGUGUUCUCACACUGACUGUAUAGAAGGAAGAGGCAAAGUAAACCUACCAUUUACACCUCAGCCCAGGCCCUGUGCCCGGUCUGUACUGUGACUGGGGAAACAUGG
rnacentral:snoRNA from 1 species